ensembl:lncRNA
GUUUGUAGGACUGGUCUCUUUCUUCCCCAGGCCUCUUCAAAAUGCUCUUGUUUUUCAGCUCCUAAAGAUCAUGACCAAAACUUGUGACUGAUUAAAAUUGCAUUUAUGAUGCAGUUUAAUUUGCAGUGUUAAUUGUUUCUGCCCCAUAACAUGGCAUGCAUUUAUUCCAGUCAUCGUAUGUAUCCCUCUGUGAAGUUAGGUCACUUUCUUCUUGGCUCUACAUACUUUUUAGAUUAAGAUUGUUCCUGGGUAUUUUAUGUUUUUAUGGCUCCUGUGAAAGGGACUUAGUUUUUAUCUUUUCUGUCCAGUUAUUGAUAUAAAGGGAAGCUAUUUGAUAUCAUAAUAGUUUUUCUAAUAAUUUUCAUGAAGGCAAAUAAGAAUGAAUUUAUGUCUUUUUGUUACCUUGUCUAAUGCAGGUCCCAUCCUCUAGCAUUAACACUCUUCAGCACCCCUGUCUGGUCCGCAGAGUGCAUCCGGCCUUUAACUCAUAGCCACGAUGCUGGUUAUAGAGCUGAGAUGCAUGUGUGUGUGUCUCUUGUUCAGUUGGAGUGGAUGUUGACUUCAUUAAGUGUGGUCCUGAGGCACUGAGGUCAGUUGUACAUGCAGAUUUCUAAGGUUUACACUGUGGCCUUGUCUCCUAUUGGCCAAUGUGAACUAUUUUUGCAUGUCUGUUAAAUAUCCACAAGGGAGAUGGAUUGUAGUUUUCUUAUUCUGUGGCAUCGUUUUCAGGUUUUUGUGUGUACUUUAAAAAGUCUCUACUCCUCCAUCCUUUUAUUCGGCCCCAUCUCCUGGUGUUUUCUUACUUUUCUACUUGAAUGUCACCUGCAUUUCAGUGGGCAAACAAUUGCCUUUGGGCCAAAUCCCAUCCACUGCUUGCUUUUGUAAUAAAGUUGUUCUGGGAUAUAGGCCCGAUCAUUUGGUUACAGAUCAUCUGUGGCUGCUUUCUUGCUACAGUGGCAGAGUUGAGUAAUUGUGACAGACUGGAUGACCCUUAAGCCUGAAUUAUGUACUGGGUGGACCCCUGCAUUCUUCUCUUUGACUGCCCCCCUGCCCCCUCUCUUCUGGGCCUGGCCUGUUAACCUGUUCAAUCUCAACGGCAGGCCCCUUGCUUCAGCAGUUUUCUUAACAGGCAAAAUUCUUGCCCUUACAGGGUGUGCACUCUAGUGGGGAGAGAAAGACAAUGGAAAACAAGUUAGUAAAUUGUACAGUAAAUGAGAAGUGGGGAGAGAAGAGUCCAGCAAGGAGGGCUGAGAGGAGGCAGGAGGGUGUACAGGUCUCACUGAGGUUCCUCUGGGUUUGUGCCCAGCCUGGCGGCUCCUCCUCCUGUAUGCUGGUCCCUAUCCCUUCCUUACGGGGGACUGGACUCUCUGCGCCCCUCCUUCCUUUGUCUCCCUAGCCAGAGCUGGUACCUGACUUGGUCCCUAUUACCCCGGGGGCUCCAGGUGAAGAGUCAACCUGGACUGAGUCCUAGGAGGUGCAGCUGGAGGUGGGACAGGGCUGUGUGACUGGGGGUGUUGAGGGGCUGGGACGGGAAGCUGGAAGGAAAGUGGUGUGAGGUGGGCCAGGGGGUGACGUCUCCUUCCUGAACCAUCUCUGUCUAGUCUAGGAGUUGGCACUUGAUCCUUGGGUGAUGCAGACAACUGCAGAAUCCUGAGAAUCGUGGUCACUUGUGCAUUUUAAAAAGUGAUGGGCUGGAUGUGGUGGCUCACGCCUGUAAUGCCAGCACUUUGGGAGGCUGAGGGGGGAAGGGGGGAGGAUCACUUGAGCCCAGGAGUCCAAGAUCAGCCUGGGCAACAUAGUGAAACCCUAUCUCUAAACAAACAAACAAAAUAGCCAAGCGUGGUGGCAUGCACCUGUAGUCCUAGCUGCUUGGGAGGAUUGCUUGAGUCCAGGAAGUUGAGGCUGCAGUGAGCUAUGAUCCUGCCACUGCACUCCAGCCUGGCUGACACAGCAAGACCUUGUCUAAAAAAAAAAAAAAAAA